UACGUAGGGUGCAAGCGUUAAUCGGAAUUACUGGGCGUAAAGCGUGCGCAGGCGGUUAUGUAAGACAGGUGUGAAAUCCCAGGGCUUAACCUUGGAACUGCAUUUGUGACUGCAUAGCUAGAGUACGGUAGAGGGGGAUGGAAUUCCGCGUGUAGCAGUGAAAUGCGUAGAUAUGCGGAGGAACACCGAUGGCGAAGGCAAUCCCCCUGGACCUGUACUGACGCUCAUGCACGAAAGGCGUGGGGAGCAAACAGG
rnacentral:rRNA from 1 species